AACAUCUUAUUGAUUGAGGGUCUGAAAAACUCGUAUAUCAAAGGUGUUGUCAUCAGCUUCUUAUUUCGAUUUUGCAACGAGACUGGAGUUAAAUAACAGCACUAGAUUA